AACCUCCUGUGAAAGCCAAUGCAGAACCCUCAUGUUUAUGUAUUUUGUUAAUCAGAAUAAAAAACCUGCACGACCCAUUAUGGUCUUUAAAGGAACUUCUCAGAAUCAAAAACGCUGGUGGAGAAAAGUGGAAAUAGAUACCAGGUUUUCAACAACAAGAUCAAAGACAAUGGCACUCAGGCACACAGAACUGAUGCACAAGAUAGAGGAGUUGGUGUUAGAACAGAUGCUAAAUAACACAGAAAAUUAAGGGAAUAUUCAACCAUCUUGGUACAUGGCGAACUGAGGUUUGGUGGAAAGGUACAAAUUGGGAAAGUUCAAAUGACACCUAAAAACAUUAAUCGUGCUGACAUUCGAGGAGAGCAUCAAAGGAUUAAGAUGUCUGAACAUUUGCUCUUGCUCUUAAAGAUUUUGUGGGCCAUCCUUUCUGUAUUACCACAAAAAUACGCCUUACACUGCUCUAAUUGCAAAAAAAAGAG